AGGAGGAACAGCCCCAGUGGCGGGGCCAGCUCUGGAGCCCUGGAGUCAGCCCCCGCAGGAACUCCGGAGCUCUCCGUCUGCAGGGCCUGGAGGCUCCGGGGCGGG
rfam:Canis lupus familiaris chromosome 18, whole genome shotgun sequence.